rnacentral:rRNA from 1 species
AUUGAACGCUGGCGGCAUGCUUUACACAUGCAAGUCGGACGAGUGGCGAACGGGUGAGUAAUAUAUUGGAACGUACCGAGUAGUGGGGGAUAACCAAUCGAAAGAUUGGCUAAUACUGCAUAUUAUUCGAGCGGCCUAUAUCUGAUUAGCUAGUUGGUGGGGUAAAGGCCUACCAAGGCGACGAUCGGUAGCGGGGCUGAGAGGAUGAUCAGCCACACGAGGACUGAGGUACGGCCCAGACUCCUAAGGGAGGCAGCAGUGGGAAAGUUUGGACAAGGGGCGCAAGACUGAUAAAGACAGGGAGCGUGUCUGAAGAAGGCCUUCGGGUGGUAAACUCCUUUCGACAGAGACGCGGUACCUGUAUAAGAAGCACAGGCUAACUACGUGCCAGCAGCCGCGGUAAUUC